AGCAGAGUAAGCUAAGAUAGAAAGCUGUCGGGUUCAUACCCCGAAUAUGAAACGGAUGUAUCCUCUGUUA
rnacentral:tRNA from 1 species